rnacentral:misc_RNA from 1 species
UUAGGUAUCAAAACAUUGUCAUUCUCAAACAUGAUAAGCACCAAAUUCUGCAAGCUAGUGAAUCUUUCCUUGUAAAUUGAGUUUCUCUCUUCAGGAAGUUCAUUGUUGAGCUUAGGAAGAAACUUACACUUUUCCAAGUAGUGAGGGACAUCAUUGGGGAAUUUGAGAUAGCCAGCAGGAGCCAGGUGAUCCUGUACAUAGUCACUAUAGAUCUCUGACUUGAUUAGGUUGUUUGCGAUUAUGCAGAAAAUGCCUGAACCACAAAGAGGAACAGAAGCAGUACCAGCAUGAGGUCCCCCUAAGGAUAUGAAAUUCUUAACAGGAGGUCCACCCUCACAAAACUCUAGCACACCUCGGCCAAUUAAGUUGCCCUGUGAGAGACCAACUAUGUUGUAACCCUCCCUUAAUUCUUUCAUUUCUUUAACCUUGUUACAAACAAUACCCAUCUGUUCCUCGAGAGGCAUAAACCAGGAAUCCCAUGUUCCACCACCAACUUCCAGGCAAUAUCCUGGAGAACCAGAAAAGUCUCUCAGUAACUCAGUGAACUGUUUUACUCCUCGAUUUUUGCAUUGAUCUCCAAUACCAUGGAGAACUAUGAAGGGUAUAGAACGAGCAAAUGGGAAGAUUAAAAAGGUCCCAAGAAUGAAGACAAAGGCAACAGAUGGAGCGUAGAAGGCCAUGACUGGUCGAUCAAUCAAACAAGUUGUCAGGUUUCCUUCUUGAAGUCGCCAAUUAGAGAUCACUUUCACACAUUCGAGUGUCAGGUUAUGGAGACGAGAAAUUUCCUCUAUUAUUGGUUCAGUUGUUGGUGGUUUCUGCCGUUACGCUACCAGUCUGUACUCGAUCUGCUUACAAGGUCC